CUUUCCUGCUUAACGUGUACAAUUCUUUUUUUUUCCCCAUGUGUGCAGUUCUAACAGGAAUCACAGUAGUCUCCCUCACAGUUUAGGAGCACUGUUCUAAGAAUAGGGCUGGUUCUAACAGGCAUGAGAGGAGAGA